GACGUAGGGCGCGAGCGUUGUCCGGAUUUAUUGGGCCUAAAGCAUCCGUAGCCGGUCUUACAAGUCCCCCGUUAAAUCCAACUGCUUAACAGAUGGGCUGCGGAGGAUACUAUAAGACUAGGAGGCAGGAGAGGCAAGCGGUACUCAGUGGGUAGGGGUAAAAUCCGUUGAUCCAUUGAAGACCACCAGUGGCGAAGGCGGCUUGCCAGAAUGCGCUCGACGGUGAGGGAUGAAAGCUGGGGGAGCAAACCGG
rnacentral:rRNA from 1 species